rnacentral:rRNA from 1 species
GGGAGGUAGUGACAAUAAAUAACAAUACGGGGUUCUUUCGGAUUUCGUAAUUGGAAUGAGUACAAUUUAAAUCUCUUAACGAGGAACAAUUGGAGGGCAAGUCUGGUGCCAGCAGCCGCGGUAAUUCCAGCUCCAAUAGCGUAUAUUAAAGUUGCUGCAGUUAAAAAGCUCGUAGUUGAAUUUCGGGACCAAUAUGUCGGUCGUGCCUCGGUACGUACUGGCAUCGUUGGUUUCUCCCUUCUGACGAACCAUGAUGUCAUUUAUUUGGUGUCGUGGGGAAUCAGGACUGUUACUUUGAAAAA